GAUGAAGAACGUAGCGAAAUGCGAUAAGUAAUGUGAAUUGCAGAAUCCAGUGAAUCAUCGAAUCUUUGAACGCACAUUGCGCCCGCCAGCAUUCUGGCGGGCAUGCCUGUUCGAGCGUCAUUUCAACCCUCGACCUCCCCUUGGGGAGGUCGGCGUUGGGGACCGGCAGCACACCGCCGGCCCUGAAAUGGAGUGGCGGCCCGUCCGCGGCGACCUCUGCGCAGUAAUACAGCUCGCACCGGGACCCCGACGCGGCCACGCCGUAAAACACCCAACUUCUGAACGUUGACCUCGAAUCAGGUAGGACUACCCGCUGAACUUAAGCAUAUCAAUAAGCGGAGGA
rnacentral:misc_RNA from 1 species